rnacentral:rRNA from 1 species
GGAGGAUCAUUAUCGUAGGGCUUCGGCCCUGUCGAGAUAGAACCCUUGCCUUUUUGGGUACCUUUCGUUUCCUCGGCAGGCUCGCCUGCCAAUGGGGACCACAAAAAACACUUUGCAGUACCUGUAACAGUCUGAACAAACAAAACAAAAAUUAAAACUUUCAACAACGGAUCUCUUGGUUCUGGCAUAGAUGAAGAACGCAGCGAAAUGCGAUAAGUAGUGUGAAUUGCAGAAUUCAGUGAAUCAUCGAAUCUUUGAACGCACAUUGCGCCCUUUGGUAUUCCUUAGGGCAUGCCUGUUCGAGCGUCAUUUAAACCUUCAAGCUAAGCUUGGUGUUGGGUGACUGUCCGCUUCACUGCGGACUCGCCUCAAAAUUAUUGGCGGCCGGUACAUUGGCUUCGAGCGCAGCAGAAACGCGAACUCGGGCCCGUCGUAUUGGCUCCCAGAAGCUAUCUUCACAAUUUUGACCUCGGAUCAGGUAGGGAUACCCGCUGAACUUAAGCAUAUCAAUAAGCGGAGGA